rnacentral:tRNA from 1 species
GUGGGUGUAACUCAGUGGUAGAGUGCUUGCCUAGCACUCUGUGCAAGACUCUUGAGUUCAAUCUCCAACUCCACACA